UACGUAGGGACCAAGCGUUGCUCGGAAUCACUGGGCGUAAAGGGCGCGUAGGCGGGGAGGUAAGUCGGGUGUGAAAUCCCUCGGCCCAACCGAGGAACUGCGCCCGAGACUGCUUCUCUUGAGUCCCGGAGAGGAAGAUGGAAUUCCCGGUGUAGCGGUGAAAUGUGUAGAGAUCGGGAGGAACACCGGUGGCGAAGGCGGUCUUCUGGACGGUACUGACGCUGAGGCGCGAAAGCGUGGGGAGCAAACAGG
rnacentral:rRNA from 1 species